CCAGAGGAUCGUUGACUUGGGUGAGUAUAGCCUGGAGAGCCAUAAUCCAUUCCUCAGUUUCUUCUCGGCUCUUGGUGGACAUCUACAUGACAGUGCAAUGACAAUCCGUGGUCGGUUGUCCCCGUCGUUGGCGUACAUUAACAGAUGCGUCGGAAGAAGCACCGAGUAACAGUGUCGCCAGGCAGACAGCAGCUUUCGGCCGUUUCGUCGUUUCAUGCAGCCAUAUCGCAAGGACUUUGGGAACGAGAAAUAAUAUGAAUCUUUAGGAAUGGCGGAAGCAUCGUCAUAGAAGAGUUCUUCCUCCUUUGGCGGCUUCACGGUCAAUGCGUCGUCGUACAGUAUGUCUGAAUCUUCACUUUCCCUUCGGCUUUUGCUGUCCUCGUCAGAAGUCGACCGAGUUUGCUGUGCCUUGAGAGCCGCCAUAGAGAAUGUGGAGGCCAAAUCUGAUGCUUUACUCCGAGAUUUUAAUAAGCGAUGCAUAAAUCCUUUUUUCUUCGUCUCCGGAGCCGGUGGUAAAGAAUUUGUAGUUGGAGGGGCGUCGCACUGGUCUUCGGUCAGGGGCUGGUCAAAGUCAGGGACCGAAUCUCUGUUGGGAACAUCGUAAAACUCUUCGGAACCAGAUGAAGCGUCGGACGAAUGGAAAAAAGAUUUAAGAGCAGGUGACAUGUCAAUAUACAUUUCCAUUUGAUGAUUUUCGUAUUCUUUCAUCAGAGACGAAAGUUUCGUAGCAAGUCUUGACCGGUGCUCCAAAGCCAAACGCGAUAGUUUCUCCGACGACAAGGCAUUUUUUGACAGAUAACAUCGUGGUAAUAAUAUCCGCUUUGGGCCAAAGAAGGGCGUCCACCUUCAAGGAAAAACGGAUUCCUAGGCGAUUGAAGAAUUCCAUAGUGUUGGCUUCCAUUAAUUUGGAAGAGGAAAUAGCGGAUGUGUUUAGGAUCGGCAGAGAGUGAAGAAUGUCUUGGCCAUUAGUGUCGAAGGGAGUUACUCUCACACCUGGGAGCUGAAGAAUGGGGAAGUUGAAUGAAAACGACAUUGCGUGAUGAAUUCUUCUCUACAGAACUCCCGUGCGAAUUCGUGAUGGCCCCUUUCACCAUAAAAUUGCUGCAUUUACAUCAGAUCCUCAGUAACGGUAAGCUACGCCCAUCUGAAAUUUCUAAGCCUGUUAUUACGGAAAGUUAAACGCGUUCGGAACUAUCUUUACAACGGGGACAAUACAUAUCGACACUGAGCAUCGAAGGGAAAUGCGACGACUUGUCCUUCAUCCACUUCCAUUUAAAUUUCGUCUACUGCGCUGUACCUUAUCACCCCAAGUAGGAGAAACAGCAAAACUGGUUUUCGUCUACGUUUCACCAUCAAUCUUCUACACCCAGUGCGCGCUGGUGGCAUUUGAAAGAAAAUAAAAAGACAAAUUGAUUUCCUAUUGAUAGCGAUUAUUGUGGCGAGUAACAAAAUAACUCUGGUGACAUACAGAAAAAAGUGUUGGAAAUGAGGUCAUUUUGCCGAAAGAAAUUGCCGAAAGUUUUCGACCAGCAUAUUUUUUUCCACCUCGGUUUCUUAUAAUUUGAUAUCUCAAUUCCGCUUCAUAUUGACUGGUCUGGAGGAACACUGAUACGGUGAGAGAGUAAAAGUUGGUUGGACAGGUCAACAUGUUUAUUGGUUCCCAGUCGCGUCCUGUGUCGUUCCGCAGUAUAAAAAGGGGCCCGAAUUUGAAAGAUUCAUCACCAAUCGUCUUUUGACCGUUCAGUUGCUUAGACAUACAAGUUCUUCUGAAGCUUUCUUGGAAAUCUCAUUCGUCUACAAUGAAAUUUGCAGUGAUUUUUGCCAUCGCUGUGGCAUGCGCUAUGGCUGCGCCGCCAACCACAAGCGCAGGCCAAUCUGCCACUUCCAAUUCCGCAUCCUCAGUCAGCGAUGACGCAGAUGGAGUCGUGAAACGAUCCCCUGCUUCCUCUUUGGUAAACCAAAAUGCCAAGCAGAUUGUUAGGAGACGACCAGUUAGUCUCAUAGACGCUAAUGGCAAACUAGUUGAUCUUGACGACGACGAUUUACAGAUAGUAACCGCGGAUUUGUCUGGACGACAAGUUAGUUUCCAACCUAAACAAAAUGUGGUUAACCGCGUCCCAGUGAGACAAUCCAAUGUAGGAUCUGUCUCCACUUCUGGACAAGCCACUGGUGACAUUAUCUUCGUCAGCGAUGAUAGCAGAGAAAUUGACGACCUAGACGAUCUUGAUGAUCUCGAUGAUUUGGCUAUAAUUUCGCCUAAUCGCUUGAGCUCUUUUCCGUUCGUGAAUGGACAAAAUGCUGCCCGUCUUGUCUCUCAAUCUUCCAUUUUUAAUCCGUCGACUUCCUUUGUCAGAACGCCACUUCGCCCUACGAGAAUGAAGCCAAGAUUCGUUCAGUCGGCUUCGACUUGUACUUGUCCUCCACAACGUGAAUCGGCUUUCCAAUUCUCAAGAUUUCCCCAGCAAUCGUUCAACCGAUUUUCCCAGAUUGGAAGGUUUCCCUUCGUCUCUUCUUUUCCUGGUGUCCAGUUCGUCUUUGACGACUGAUCUAAACUUUAUGUUCUAGAUUUUGGGUUGAGGUUUUUCUUUUAUGGUUUCCCUAUCCAUUAUCAAAUUUUGCACCCUUUGCAUUCUCUUACCCGUUUAGAUUUCAUGGCUUGCAGACGGAAACAAAUAACUUGUUUGAUAUUCUCUCAAAUUUCAAAGAAAUUUUUGUACUGUAGUAAACCGGAGUGUUCGUAUGACAAUAUAAUAAUCUGUAAAGAAAAUUUUUGCCAUGAUUCAUUGCUGAUGUUGAGCAACCUAUGAAACAUCAACGCUAAAGCUUCACAUUGAAAUAAUAACGCUUUAAAAGCAUAAAGAUUUUCUUUUAGUGAUGUGCGAUAAUAAUUAUUGUUCGGAUAUCCCUACUAAAAAAAUAAUCGUUGAUGCAUGGUUUUAAAAGUAGUUUUCUAACUUGCUUAUACGUACUUUGAUUCUGCAUGGAUUUGCUUUUAUUAUUGAUGAACCGAAGGGGUUAAUUGCUGAGGUCAUGUGUCAAAGUGGGAACUUUUAUUUAUUGAUUAUUCUAUUUCAUUUAUUUAUUCUUUUACAUAUUUUUUAACAUUUAAUGCGUAUCGGAUAAGUCAUCGUGAAAAAAUGUGGUAUAAUUAGGAAUUAUAAUGCCACAUUUUAACGUUGUUGAAAAUAAGAAAUUAGUGUGUAAACCUGUGGAUUUGUUAAGCUUUUGUGUCUCUUUACAUGAUACAAUGAUAUAAUGGGAGGGUAUAGAACAUAACUAGAACUUGGUGAAUGUUACUUGUUACGUUAUUUGUGAUACAGUUCCAAAAACACCAGGAAAUUUCGUAGUAUCAAUUAUUUUUGAACUUGAACAGGUAAAAAGUCGGAACUAGUUCCAACACUAUCGUCAACCAUCAAUCUUAUUCGAAAGGUGCUGGUUGCGACAAAGUAAAACGGCAAAUUGAUUUCGUGACGAAAGUUAUUUUUGUUGGCUUGAAAGAUGAAUGAUGAAAUGGCGGCAGUGCGACAAACUGAGCAAAGUGGUGGGAAUGAGGCCAGCAUAUGCAAUCGAAACAAAGAAAUGGCAGGAUAUAUCACUUUACAUUUUUGGUUAUCACAACUUAUUUGCUAGCCUAUAUUCCACCAGCAUACUUUUUUUUUCAUCUUAUAAAGUGAGCGAUGUCUCAAUACCGCUUUAUAGUGACCAGACUUGGGGGACAUUGAUACUAUGCGAGAGUAAAAGUUGGUUGGACAGGUCAGCACGUGAUCAUGUUGGUUUUCGGUUCCUGUAUCGAUCUGUUGUAUAAAAGGGAACAGUAUUUGGUUGAUACAUCAUCAUUCGUCUUCUGACUGUUGAGUUGAAAUUCUUCAGCAUCCUUUUCGUUUACUAUGAAGUUCGCAGUGAUUUUUGCCGCCGCCGUGGCCUGUGUCAUGGCAGGACCCCAAUCCAGCAGCUCCGAGACGUCCGUUAGAAACUACUCGGAUGGAAUUAUGAAAAGAUCCUCUACUUCUACUUUGGGAAACCAAAUCGGCCAGAAUCCUGUUGUAAGAAAACGUCGAGUCAAUGUCUUGGAUGCCAAUGGAAAACUGGUUGAUUUUGACGAUGACGAUUUCCAAAUUAUCACCGCGGAUUUGUCUGGAAGACAAGUUAAUUUCCAACCUAAACAAAAUACCAUUCCUGUUAACCGAUUCCCGAUGAGGCCAUCCAAUGUAGGAUCUGUCUCCACCUCUGGACAGGCCACUGGUGACAUUAUCUUCGUCAGCGACGAUAGCAGAGAAAUUGAUGACCUAGACGAUCUUGAUGAUCUCGAUGAUUUGGCUAUUAUUUCGGCUGAUCGCUUGAGCUCUUUCCCGUUCGUGAAUGGACAAAAUGCUGCCCGUCUUGUCUCUCAAUCUUCCAUUUUUAAUCCGUCGACUUCCUUUGUCAGAACGCCCCUUCGCCCGACGAGAAUGAAGCCAAGAUUCGUUCAGUCGGCUUCGACUUGUACUUGUCCUCCACAACGUGAAUCGGCUUUCCAAUUCUCAAGAUUUCCCCAGCAAUCGUUCAACCGAUUUUCCCAGUUUGGAACGUUUCCCUUCGUCUCUUCCUCUCCUGGUGUUCAGUUCAUCUUUGACGACUAGCUACAAUUGUAUGAACUAAAGUUUCGGUCAAGGUUCUCCUUUUAUAUCGUUUCCCUAUCCAUUUAAAGGCCUACUAUCCAUUUAUUGUAACCAAAUUUGGCUUUCAAUGCAUUAUCUUAUUUGUUUUCAGAUGAAGAACAAAUCAACAAAUAAAAAACAUGCUUGUUA